UGCGCAUGUGCUUGUGUGUGUUAGGGCAUGAUUAAAAUGUUGACUCUCACUCUUUCUCUCUUUAAGGGGAUGUACAAUAAAUAAAAUGAAAAUGACUGCUCUGCACUGACAUAAAACUUAGCCUAAAUACCCUAGAAAUGACGAAGACUGGAGAACCCAAGUGGGCAAUCAGCUACCCCAUAGGCCUAAACCAAGAGGCCAAGUCAGUGAACAAGAAACCAACACGUGGGUAUGUGGAAUUCCCACUCAGGGCCAUUCUCUAGAGAAGAAACAUGUUUCCUUCCUACAGACUUGCAGGACACAACAGCCUAUUUUUCCAGGAUAUUCUGCCA